AUUGAACGCUGGCGGCAUGCUUUACAUAUGCAAGUCGAACGGUAACAGGGUGCUUGCACCGCUGACGAGUGGCGAACGGGUGAGUAAUGCGUCGGAACGUGCCGAGUAGUGGGGGAUAACGCAGCGAAAGUUGUGCUAAUACCGCAUACGUACUGAGGUAGAAAGUGGGGGACCUUCGGGCCUCACGCUAUUCGAGCGGCCGGCGUCUGAUUAGCUAGUAGGUGAGGUAAAGGCUCACCUAGGCGACGAUCAGUAGCGGGUCUGAGAGGAUGAUCCGCCACACUGGGACUGAGACACGGCCCAGACUCCUACGGGAGGCAGCAGUGGGGAAUUUUGGACAAUGGGCGAAAGCCUGAUCCAGCCAUGCCGCGUGUCUGAAGAAGGCCUUCGGGUUGUAAAGGACUUUUGUCAGGGAGGAAAUCUCUAGUGCUAAUAACACUGGGGGAUGACAGCACCUGAAGAAUAAGCACCGGCUAACUACGUGCCAGCCGCCGCGGUAA
rnacentral:rRNA from 1 species